GACGAACGCUGGCGGCGUGCUUAACACAUGCAAGUCGAACGAAGUGGCGAACGGGUGAGUAACGCGUAAUCAACCUGCCCUUCAGAGGGGGACAACAGUUGGAAACGACUGCUAAUACCGCAUACUGAAGGAGGGGAUUGCGUAUGAUUAGGUAGUUGUAGGGGUAACGGCCCACCAAGGCGAUGAUCAGUAGCAGUGUCGAGUGGAUGAACGGUCACAUUGGGACGGAGACACGGCCCAGACUCCUACGGGAGGCAGCAGUGGGGAAUCUUCCGCAAGGGACGAAAGUCUGACGGAGCAACGCCGCGUGAGUGAUGACGGCCUUCGGGUUGUAAAGCUCUGUUAAUCGGGACGCGGUACCGGAAUAGAAAGCCACGGCUAACUACGUGCCAGCCGCCGCGGUAAUUC
rnacentral:rRNA from 1 species